AUAAAGUCGACCUCAAAUCCAGGU
rnacentral:rRNA from 1 species